UACGUAGGGAGCGAGCGUUGUCCGGAAUUACUGGGUGUAAAGGGAGCGUAGGCGGGACGGCAAGUCAGAUGUGAAAUAUAUGGGCUCAACCUGUAGACUGCAUUUGAAACUGCUGUUCUUGAGUGAAGUAGAGGUAAGCGGUAUUCCCAGUGUAGCGGUGAAAUGCGUAGAUAUUAGGAGGAACAUCGGUGGCGAAGGCGGCUUACUGGGCUUUUACUGACGCUGAGGCUCGAAAGCGUGGGGAGCAAACAGG
rnacentral:rRNA from 1 species